ACGAGUUCAAGGGGUUUUAAGCCAGAAAUAGGCUGGGUCUGGGGAGAGGGGCUUUCAAACUCUCCUUGUAGGAAAGGGACCAGGGCUGCCCCAGGAAGAAGCCCCAUUUCCAGUGGAGAGAAACGUCCAAGACCUGCCCUGGCUUGUGUGGCCUUCAUACCUGCCCGGAGCACCAGUUCCCUCCCUCCUGUCCAGCUCAGCCUGGCUGCCCAGAACACAUGAGCCCAGAGAGGGUGGGCGAUGCAGGGCCAGAGAAGACCAGCCUGCCCUAGGACGCUGCAGGCCCCUGACCCACACAGUGGAGGAGUAGGCGAGUGGUGAAACAUGGCGAAUACCUCCAAGACCUGCAUCAAGCCACUCAUGCACCUGGAGACACAGGAAAUGGAAGAGGCCCACACGAGGUGUGGCCCCCGGACGGAGCACCUGGCUGUAGGGACGCAAGCUGCUGGGCCCGGUGCCAGUGGGGCAGGGCCCAGGGACCAAGCCGGCUGUCGUGGGUGAGUCUUUUCAUCAUCUCGGUUCUGUACCUGACGGAGAGGAGGCUCAGAGAGGGCAGAUGACUUGCGGAGGCCAUGAAGCCAGGAAGUGGCAGAUUUGAAUCUGGAUCUGUGUUUCACCAAGAUACCGACGAGAUGAGAGCUGGAGUUGUCACUCCUCUGCUUUGUUAGAACAUGUAAGCCUUACAGACUCAGAGAAGUGCUGGCGUCUGCGUAGCACUUGCUAGUUUACAAAGUCUGCUGGGACCUGUCCUUAUUUUCAUUUAAUUCUCAAAACAACCUGAGGAGGUGGGCAUGGAAUUGCUCAUUUAACAUAGAGGGGACCAGGUACAGUGGCUCACAAAUCCUAGCACUUUGAGAGGCCGAGGCAGGUGGAUCACUUGAGGUCAGGAGUUCAAGACCAGCCUGGCCAACAUAGCAAAACCUCAUCUCUACUAAAAUUACAAAAAUUAGCUGGGUAUGGUGGCUGGCAUCUGUAAUCCCAGCUACUCGGGAGGCUGAGACAGGAGAAUCGCUUGAACCUGGGAGGCGGAGGUCGCAGUGAGCCGAGAUUGUGAUAUUGCACUGCAGCCUGGACAAAAGGAGUGAGAAUCUCAGAAACAGAACAAAACAAAACAAAACAAAACAGAGGGGGGAAGCUGAGGCUUGUCCAUCUGGUGAAGAGCUGUCCUUGGAUCAAACCCAGAUGUGUGUCCUCAAAUCCAGGGUCCCCUCCCCUGCACCACCUGCUUCUUGAGGGCAUUGUCAUAGUCAGAGGCUGUGCUCCACCCCAGGGCACCUUGGUGCCUCCUCUUGUCAGGCAGCUGGGGACCUGGUGUCUGUGUCCUCACUGAGCCGGCCGGCUUGGACACCGCCGGGGCUGAGGAUGUGAGCUCACGUGCAGUGGCUCUCCUGCAAGGCUGACCUGGGCUCAGCUCUUUGGCCCUGCCGGGGCUGGAAAGCACGGUCCCUGGAGCUCAGCUGUCGGUGUCCCUCCCUGGUCCUGGGCCUGGGCUAGGCAUGGAGGACCCCGUGGUAAGAGAGACCCAGGCCUGGCCUCGAGGCUCUAUCAGUGAGACUGCUGGGGCUGCCAGAGAGGUGAGUGCCACUGCAGGGCCCCAGGAAGGAGCCCAGGUCUGCAGGGGACUGCAGCAGUCUCAGCGCCAUCUUGCACUGUCUUCUGAAAACAGAAGAGGAAUUCCUAAGCUCUUCGAGUCUGAGAAGGUGUCUGAGACAUGGAGAACAGCUUGGGGGCAGGAGUAUCUAGAUGUGUCAGGGAUGCACAGAGGGAUGGACAGUGAGAUGGAAAGGAGGUGAGCCACAGGCCAGCGCAGGUGGGGCCACGGGAGGCCAAAUGCCACGGUGUCUACCCGGAGGGCAGUGGGGGCCAGCAGGGCAGGGAAGUGGCAGCAGUUGCAUUGUAUAAGCCUCCCUCUGCUGCCACAGGUGUGGGGUAGACUGCAGG